UCAAAUCAUUUUAUAAGAAUACCCAAUAAAGACGCUUAAAAAUCCAAAGUGUAAAUGUAAAAUCCAAAAUUCUCUUGAAACUCAAAUUUAUUAUUAAAAUUGAAUUAAUUUAAAAAUCCAAAAAAUGAAGAAAAAAAAGCUGGAGGAUUGUGCUUUGUACGAUUGCCACUCUGCACGCUGCCUGCCCUCCUACUGCCAGCUUACUUUGCCAAGCAACCUCUUCUUACACAGCAUCUCCCUUUCCUUUCUGAUCCUUCCAGUGAUGCCAAUGGGUAUAUAAAACUGCCAAAGAAUCUCUUACUAUCACCAGCUUUCACCACCAAUCCACCACAACCAACACAUUCGGCCACCGCUACAUUAGCCUCCACUCCUCCCCAUGGUUUGCGAUUCUUACCAUCCCCAACACCAAAAUUCAAGACUGAGACCUUUACCAACAACCACUGAAACAAUCCCUAAACCCAUUCGACCACCACUGAAACCAACCCCCACGACACCAAUUUACCACCCUCUGCUUCUAGCCAAAGCUACUAGUUGAAAUCACCCACAUCCGAAAACA
rnacentral:lncRNA from 1 species